UGACCUCUCCGGUUGCCUAGUGGUUAGAGUGUACGCCUCGGAUGCGGGAGGUCGUGGGUUUGAUCCCCAGCAGAGUCAA